UCAGUGUAUCAUGUCUUUUAUUAAUUAACCACCACGUAAAGUCUAACAUCCAGAACAGACUAAUCAAUCCAGCACAAUCAAACCCAACUGCAUCACAUCUCAUAAUUCAUUUUUAAAAAACGGUCCAAAAAUGUGAUUUAAAAAAAAAAAAAAGUUAAUAUCAAGCCUUUUAUUUGGUAUACAGAUAUUCAUAUAUUUAUACAGUAUAUAACACAUGUGCCACUGCAAAGUCAGACAAACUAAUCAUCUUUUAAGGAACAAAAAUAAAGAUAAAAAUAAUGAGAAACUUCAGAGGAAUACAGUGAAGCGUGUCGUCGUGGUAACAAUGACCAACAGGAAUGAUGAGGUAAACUGCCAGGCAGAGAAACUAAACAAAAAGCAACUAGUUCAGGCUACAGAGAGGCAGCGGAGUGGCAUGGGCCCUUAAGUGUCAGCUACAUGUGGAUACCCAAGUCUAAACACACAAAUACAUGAUCGGAGACUAACUAAAAAUACAGUCUCUCAUACACACAAACCCAACGCUGGCACAUACCAGCGGACAGGAAUCAUACGUGUGGACAUUGGCUUGUGCGCACACACCCACCCACCCUCCAGCGGGUUCAGCUGAGGGACAUCCAGAGCUAGAGAGACACAAGGGGGGCUGGACCAGAGGGAAUGGAGUGUGAGGAUGAAGAGGACAGAAGGGAAAGAGGGCUAAAGGAGAGAUGGAGGGCAGAGUUAGAGGAGGCUGAAACACUUCCAAAAGAGAUUGAAGGUGGAGUGAGGGGCAGUAGUUACAGGAGGAGGAAAAGAGAUGCAGGGGAGGGAUGGGGGGGGGGGCAGUGCUAAAACUGUUUGACAGUCAGAGUGGUUGUCUCCCCCUGGUGGUCACUCUGAGUCUCGCUGGACCUCAGAGGCAUCAGCCCGACAGAUGGGACACGUCCUGUUAGCCUGGAGCAAGAGACAACCAGAGAGGGAGAGAUAGUCCGUUAACAUGCAGGGAUGACUUGAUCAUUACAGGAGAACUUCAGAUAAUAUAUAUAUAUUUUUAAGAGGGUGCUUCAGUUGGAUCAAGAACUAGGUAUGAAGACAGAUGUUUCACAGUAUCUAGAAACGUGUGUUUGCCAACUACACAGAAAGAAACGUUAAAAGCAACAUGAAAAAAAUAUAUAUUUCGCCAACCUUGGCUUUAUACCUGUUCAGAUAACACUCCAGCUGGUAGUUUGUUACCAACUCAGAAGUAAACUGAACAAAAAUAUAAACGCAACAUGCAAAAAUCUUAAGAGUUAACUGAGUUACAGUUCAUAAGGAAAUUGGAAGAAAUUCAUUAGGCCCUAAUCAAUGUAUUUCACAUGACUUGGUAUACAGAUAGCUUAAAAAAAUAUAUUAAAAAGGGGCUGUGGAUCAGGAGUCCAGUCAGUAACUGGUGCGACCAUCGUUUACCUCAGGCAGCGCGAUACAUCUCCUUCGCAUCGAGUUGAUUGUGGCCUGUGGAAUGUUGUCCAACUCUUCAAAUGUUGUGAAAGGUUGCUGGAUAUUGGCGGGAACUGGAACACGGUCAUACGCAUUGAUCCAGAGCAUGGAAGAGCGGACACCUUUUUCAGCUUCCAGGAAUGGUGUACAGAUCCUUGCGACACGGGGCCUUGCAUUACCGUGCUGAAACAUGAGGUGAUGGCGGCAGAUGAACGGCACGACAACGGGCCUCAGGAUCUCUGUGCUUUCAAGUUGCCAUCGAUAAAAUCCAAUUGAGUUUAUUCUCCGUAGCUUUCGCCUGCCAAUAACCCCACUGCCAUUAUUGGGCACUCAUGUUCACAACGUUGACAUCAGCAAACCGCUCUCCCACAUGAAUAAAACGCAGUCUGCCAUCUGCCCGGUACAGUUGAAACCGGGAUUCAGCCAUGACAAGCACACUUCUCCAGCGUGCCAGUGGCAAUCGAAAGUUAGCAUUUGACCACUAAAGUCAGGUCAAGAACCUGGUGAAGACCACAAACACAGAGAUGAGCUUCCCUGAGACGGUUUCUGAGUUUGUGCAGAAAUUCUUCAGGUUGUGCAAACCCAGUUGUCAGGUGGCUGGUCUCAGACGACCACGCAGGUGAAGAAGCCGGAUGUGGAGGUCCUGGGAUGGCAUAGAUGUGGUCUGCGGUUGCGAGGCCAGGUGGACGUACUGCCAAAUUCUCAAAAACGAUGUUGGAUGCAGCUUAUGGUAGAGAAAUUAACAUUAAAUUAUCUGGCAACAGCUCUGGUGGACAUUCCUGCAGUCAACACGCCAAUUGCACGGUCCAUCAAAACUUAGAGACAGCUGUGGCAUUGUGUUGUGUGACAAAAACAGCACACUUUAGAGCUGACUUUUAUUGUCCCCAGCACAAGAUGCACCUGUGUAAUGGUCAUGCUGUUUAAUCAGCUUCUUGAUAUGCCACACGUGACAGGUGGAUGGAUUAUCUUGGCAAAGAAGAAAUGGUCCCUAACAGGGAGGUAAACAAAACAUCUGCUCUAAAAUUGGAGAGAAAUACACUUUUUGUGCGUGUGGAACAUUUCUGGGAUCAUUUAUUUCAGCUCAUGAAACAUGGGACCAACACUUUACAUGUUGCCUUUUAUAUUUUUGUUCAGUGUAGUUGAUUGUGCUUCGUGAAAUACUAGAGCGAGAGACUCACCCGGAGCCACUUGUCGACACACUUCCCGUGAAACUCAUGACUGCAGGGCAGAACUCGCAGCAGCUGACGAGACUCAAAGUCACUCAUACACACCACACACCUGCAACACAACUUCAUUACAACAUUUCAACAAAACCACCAGCUGUAUACUCGUCGAGGAGGAUAGCAUCCUCGGUUCUGGUAGGUCCAGGGGAAGUACUCACAGCGUCUGUUCUGAUUGGUGGUUGUUGGGGUUGAACCUAUAGGAAGGCAGCUGCUCGAUGUCUCCCUUAGUCAGUCCUCGGAGUUUGGCCUCUCCCAGACGCUCGGCCAGGUUGAGAAGAGCCUCGUAGUUCUCCACCUCGCCGUCAUCUACGUCCAGCUCCAGACUGAUGGCAGGGCCUGUAGGCUGGACUGGCAGCAUAGAGCUGACAGACAGGGAGAGAAACUCACUUACCUACAGACACUGCGCAUACACAGCUCAUGUGACAGAGUACAAAAGAGCUUGACUGUAUUCGCACAAAUACGCUAUGCCACAAGAGUCAGCUACUUCCAACCAAUAGGGCAGAGUCUCCUGAUUGUCUAAGCUACAACACCCAUGAUGUAGAGCUAGAGAUGAAUGGUGACUUACAGGAAGUAAGGCAGGAAACUGGGGUGGUAAGGCGAGGGUGGCAGUGGCUGCUGUGAGCGGUAGCGUCGUCCAGGGAUACGCCGUGGCAUGAAGUUAGGAUACGAC
ensembl:lncRNA